rnacentral:tRNA from 1 species
UCCCUGGUGGCUAAGUGGUAAAGAAUCUGCCUGCCAAUGCAGGAGACACAGGUUCAAUCCUUGAUCUGGGAA